CAACUUCAAGCCCACCUUAGCACACCAUUCCUCAACAUAGAUGGGUGGCUUGUGUUCCUGUGCCCUUGUGCCUGGGGCAGGAAAGCAUCUCCCUUUUUCUGUCUUUUAUCCCAGGAGGCAAGAUAACACUGAGCUUGUGAUAUGUCUAAUAAAACUGUGACUUGUUCCCGUUCAGGACCUAAAUCAGCAGAAUGAGGGAGACAAAGCAAAAUGAAUAGAUUCUUUCCUCUUUAUUCACCAUUUUUUAGGAUAAUGAGUCAAUUCCUCAGCAUCCUCUAACAGCAACUUGAUUUUUAGUAUCAGUAUGAUACAUUCAACAUACUUAUGUCUUACUCUGUUGCACUAAUUAUUCUUAUCCUUGUCUUCUUUCUGAUAGGUGGCAUCUCCAACUGUCCUCCUGCUUUCCUGAUCUAUCAUUAGUUCUUUCUUAUUUACUGAUACUUCUGCUGCGUCUACUCCUUAAUUAUUGCUGGGCCCCAAAUCUCUGUUCUCAUUCCUCUCUCCCUCUGAUGCUCUCCUCUCUUGUUGGACAAUUUCAUCUAUUCUUGGGCUUCAACUGCCUCUUAUUUACUACUAACGCUGGGCUCUGUGUUUCCAACCAGAACUCUUCUUGGAGUCUGCCAGCGUCCUCGUAGGGGUACUGCAUACUCUGCUUAUCUUCCCUUAGUGGGAACCUCCAUAUGCCGCGAGUACAGCCCUAAAAAAGAAAGAAAAAAAAAAGGACAUCAACAUAAAUAGAAAAAGGGACUUAUCAUCUAUACAAAUAUGGGAAGAAAACAUAGUAAGAAUCAUGGCUUUUCAAGGUGAUGAAAUAGUCCAAAAUAAAAAGGAACAAAGAGAGUAAACUAUAGCAACCCUCCAACGUGAACUUUAAAAUAAAAACCAAUAGUGGGUGUGAAAGAAUACCACAGGUCAGAAAUUCAGAAACUUAGAAUGAAAAUGAAAAAGCAGCAGACACAUGUGAAAAGAGAACUGACCAAACAUGGGAAAGAAUUUAAAAAGAUAAAAUCAUCAUAGCUAUGAAGACUAAAUUACAACACAUUCAAAUGAAAAUGGAAACGGAGUUUCCCUCCAGGCUCAGCAGAAAUGAAUCUGACUAGCAUCCAAGAGGACUCAGGUUCGAUCUCUGGCCUUGCUCAGAGGGUUAGGGAUCUGGCGUUGCCAUGAGCUGUGGUGUAGGUUGCAGUUACAGCUCAGAUCCAGCGUUGCUAUGGUUUUGGCGUAGACUGGCAGCUGUAGCUCCAAUUUUACUCUAGCCUGGGAUUUUAGGUGUGGGACUGAAAAAGAAGAUAAUAAAUAAGAAAAUAAGAACGACUGUAAGUACCUUAAAGCAUAUAGAAGAAAGGAAUGAAAAAAAGUGAAGGGCAAAAACAACAAACUGGAAGAGCUGGAAAGGCCCAAGAAGAAAAUAAGACAGGCAAAUGAAAACUAACACUGGUAAAAUUGGAGCUCUUGCAGCCAAAAGAUUAGACACUGGAAGAGAGUUAAUAUUUAAAACUACUCCAAGAGAAAUUUCAGAAAACAAAAAACCUGUAUCCGUAUCUUGAAAGGGCCUACCUUGUUACAGGGAAAGUUGAUCCAGGAUGAUAGAUGGAGACAUAUUCUAGCAAACUAUCAUAAUUUGAAGGUGAGGGGGAAAUUCUCUAGACCAAGACCUAGUCUCUUACUAAGGACAGAUCAGGUUGGCAUCAAAUUUCUCAAAAAGCAAUUAGAAGUGGAGUAACAUUUGGGGUUCCCCUCAUGGCCCAGUGGUUAACAAACCUGACUAGCAUCCUUGAAGACUUGGGUUUGAUCUCUGGCCUUGCUCUGUGGGUUAAGGAUCUGGUGUGGCCAUGAGCUGUGGUAUAGGUUGCAGAUGAGGCUCAGAUCUGGCGUGGCUGUGGCUGUGGCGUAAGCCAGCUGCUGUAGCUCUUAUUGCACCCUAGCCUGGGAACCUCCAUAUGCCUCCAGUAUGGCCCUAAAAGCCAAAAAAA
ensembl:lncRNA